rnacentral:tRNA from 1 species
CAGAUGUAGUUCAAUGGCAGAACUUCAGCUUCCCAAGCUGACCACGCGGGUUCGAUUCCCGUCAUCUG